rnacentral:lncRNA from 1 species
AAAUCAUGAUGAGCUUCAACCAUGGCCACUGACGAAACCUCAGGCAUUUCGGCUGGUAUUUUGAACAAAUUUAUUUACUGCCUUUAUUAUAAUGUUGUCGGACAGUUGUGCAUCUAGAUGAUCUGGUGGAGUUUACACUUCAGAGGCACUGGGAAUGCCAAAGAUUUAUUUGCCUCUCAUUCAUUAAGAAGAAAAAAGAAAGAAAAUGUAACUAAUUGAAGAGUCUGGAUGACAAUUAUCUGUUUGUGAAACACUAAGGAGGCUCUGUAAGGCAUGACUCUGAAGAAGGCCACUAUCUUUUACUGCCGUGACACCAUUUCUCAGAACACAUCACAUGGCCCCUGAGUGGUCAGGAGUCCAGAGAAAAACAGUCAAGCCCUCCUUUAAUAGUAAAAUUUUUGUCUGACCCUCUCAAGUGGCUAUGUAGAUCUCUUGCAAAUUGAACCAGAAGGUCUUUGGUUCAAGUUCCUGACUUAGCAAUUUUGUAUGUUAUCUCACAUACCAUGAUCAGGUUCUUUGUGGAAGUUCUCUCUUUAAUUCUUCUUGAAAUAGGUUUGUUUUGUUUUGUUUUUU